rnacentral:lncRNA from 10 species
CUUCCCUGAGCUUACCGGAGUUUCCUGCCCAUGGGUGACCUGUUCUUCCACCAAUUGAGAUUUGUCACUGAGCGAUUCUGAAUGUUGAUCUUGCUUCUUUAAGAGGGAACAGUGUGCCUUCAGGUCAAUAUCCCUCCUAACCACAACAGAAUGUAAGCCUCAUUCUCAGACAGAAAGCAAUGCAUUUGUUCAAAGAUGAAGAAAACAUAAAAGGGGAUGAGGCUAAGGAUGGAGACAGUUUCUGGGCGUUCACAGUUUCUAUGUCAUGAGCUUCCCUAUGAAGAGGCCAAUAUGACAAAAGACAAAGAAAGACCUCUGGACAACAGCCAGCAAGGAACCAAGGCCUUCAGUCCUCCAGGUUAUGAGGAAGGGAAGCCUCUAACAAUUCUAGAGAAAAGGCAACGUGAAGACACUAAGAGGAGAAGAUGGCCAUCUACAAGCUGAGAAGAUACCAAUCCUGCCAACAGCUUGAUCUUGGACGUCCAGCCUCCAGAAUGUGAGAAAAUAAAAGUCUGUUGUUUAAGCCACCCAGUUUGCAGUAUUUUGUUAUCACAAACUUAGCAAAC